GUGAACGAGCGACGCCGCGUGCGGGAUGAAGGGCUUCGGCUUGUAAAGCCCUGUCGACUGGGAAGAAUGGCGGGAGGUGAAUAACCAUCUCGUCUGACGCUACCAGUAAAGGAAGCACCGGCUAAAUACGUGCCAGCAGCCGCGGUAAUACGUAUGGUGCGAACGUUGUUCGGAAUCACUGGGCAUAAAGAGCACGUAGGCGGUCGGGCAAGUCCAUUGUGAAAUCCCCCGGCUUAACCGGGGAACUGCAAUGGAUACUACUCGGCUAGAGUGCAGGAGGGGAGAGUGGAAUUCCUGGUGGAGCGGUGAAAUGCGUAGAUAUCAGGAGGAACGCCGGCGGCGAAAGCGACUCUCUGGUCUGCCACUGACGCUGAGGUGCGAAAGCUAGGGGAGCAAACGGGAUUAGAUACCCCGGUAGUCCUAGCCCUAAACGAU
rnacentral:rRNA from 1 species